CAGACAAAAAUAUUAAAAUUGGAGAAAUAAAGAUUAUAAACAUUAGUUUUAAUAAUUUAAAUA
rnacentral:tRNA from 1 species